rnacentral:pre_miRNA from 1 species
UCUUAUGGGUGAGCAAAGAAAGUGGCUUUCUGAGAAGGAAUCUACUCCUGGUGAAGAUGCCAUGAA